CCUUGACAUACUAAGAACUUUCCAGAGAUGGAUUGGUGCCUUCGGGAACUUAGAUACAGGUGCUGCAUGGCUGUCGUCAGCUCGUGUCGUGAGAUUGUUGGGUUAAGUCCCGNAACGAGCGCAACCUUUUCCUAUUUGCCAGCGGGUCAUGCCGGGAACUUUAAGGAUACUGCCAGUGACAAACUGGAGGAAGGCGGGGACGACGUCAAGUCAUCAUGGCCCUUACGGCCAGGGCUACACACGUGCUACAAUGGUCGGUACAAAGGGUUGCUACCUCGCGAGAGGAUGCUAAUCUCAAAAAGCCGAUCGUAGUCCGGAUCGCAGUCUGCAACUCGACUGCGUGAAGUCGGAAUCGCUAGUAAUCGCGGAUCAGAAUGCCGCGGUGAAUACGUUCCCGGGCCUUGUACACACCGCCCGUCACACCAUGGGAGUUUGUUGCACCAGAAGUAGGUAGUCUAACCGCAAGGAGGACGCUUACCACGGUGUGGCCGAUGACUGGGGUGAAGUCGUAACAAGGUAAGCGUAGAUGA
rnacentral:rRNA from 1 species